rnacentral:rRNA from 1 species
GUGAGUAACACGUGAGCAACCUGCCCCUGACUCUGGGAUAAGCGCUGGAAACGGCGUCUAAUACUGGAUAUGUCCCAUCACCGCAUGGUGUGUGGGUGGAAAGAUUUUUCGGUUGGGGAUGGGCUCGCGGCCUAUCAGCUUGUUGGUGAGGUAAUGGCUCACCAAGGCGUCGACGGGUAGCCGGCCUGAGAGGGUGACCGGCCACACUGGGACUGAGACACGGCCCAUACUCCUACGGGAGGCAGCAGUGGGGAAUAUUGCACAAUGGGCGGAAGCCUGAUGCAGCAACGCCGCGUGAGGGAUGACGGCCUUCGGGUUGUAAACCUCUUUUAGCAGGGAAGAAGCGAGAGUGACGGUACCUGCAGAAAAAGCACCGGCUAACUACGUGCCAGCAGCCGCGGUAAUACGUAGGGUGCAAGCGUUAUCCGGAAUUAUUGGGCGUAAAGAGCUCGUAGGCGGUCUGUCGCGUCUGCUGUGAAAUUCCGAGGCUCAACCUCGGGCUUGCAGUGGGUACGGGCAGACUAGAGUGCGGUAGGGGAGAUUGGAAUUCCUGGUGUAGCGGUGGAAUGCGCAGAUAUCAGGAGGAACACCGAUGGCGAAGGCAGAUCUCUGGGCCGUAACUGACGCUGAGGAGCGAAAGGGUGGGGAGCAAACAGGCUUAGAUACCCUGGUAGUCCACCCCGUAAACGUUGGGAACUAGUUGUGGGGUCCUUUCCACGGAUUCCGUGACGCAGCUAACGCAUUAAGUUCCCCGCCUGGGGAGUACGGCCGCAAGGCUAAAACUCAAAGGAAUUGACGGGGACCCGCACAAGCGGCGGAGCAUGCGGAUUAAUUCGAUGCAACGCGAAGAACCUUACCAAGGCUUGACAUACACGAGAACGGGCCAGAAAUGGUCAACUCUUUGGACACUCGUGAACAGGUGGUGCAUGGUUGUCGUCAGCUCGUGUCGUGAGAUGUUGGGUUAAGUCCCGCAACGAGCGCAACCCUCGUUCUAUGUUGCCAGCACGUAAUGGUGGGAACUCAUGGGAUACUGCCGGGGUCAACUCGGAGGAAGGUGGGGAUGACGUCAAAUCAUCAUGCCCCUUAUGUCUUGGGCUUCACGCAUGCUACAAUGGCCGGUACAAUGGGCUGCAAUACCGUGAGGUGGAGCGAAUCCCAAAAAGCCGGUCCCAGUUCGGAUUGAGGUCUGCAACUCGACCUCAUGAAGUCGGAGUCGCUAGUAAUCGCAGAUCAGCAACGCUGCGGUGAAUACGUUCCCGGGUCUUGUACACACCGCCCGUCAAGUCAUGAAAGUCGGUAACACCUGAAG